rnacentral:lncRNA from 1 species
UUUUUGAAAAUGUCUGUGUAUGCACUGAACGUUUGCCAUGUAUGCUAUAACUUAAAUGAUACACUGAAUGGAUAAUGCACCUUAAACUUUCCCAACAUUCUUUUAAGUUUAUAGACGUUUGUCAUUAAUCUGUAUGUACAGUUGAAUAUAUAUACUGGCAUAAUUAUCUCUUUGCAAUUGAUCUUUUUUUUUAUAGCUAAAUUUUUAGUGAAAAUUUAAACAAUAGUCAUUUGAACUCAAUUCUCCAUAUUAGUUGCUUCUUGCUUUAUUUUACAAAUAAAGGGGUCAGUAGGUUCAAUAUAUAUGAUGUUACAUCAUGGUGAAAGUAGAUUUCUCAAAAAAAAAAAAUAGCAGGUUUUGAAAUUACAUAGGCAUGCUUCUUUGCAGUUCACUCUGAAUGAAACAGAAUUUGAGUUGAUUUCAAACUUCUGAAAAGCCUUUGUUCAGUACAAUGGUUACUUACUAUGAACACAGAUCCAGUGUUACACAUUCUUGAGAGACAAUAUUCCUCAGUCAUGUGCAUCUGUUUCCAUAGCUAAAAUUACUACUAUUUCAGGAAAUUAACUUCCUGUGAACCAGCCUUUCAACUGAAUUCUAGUCCUGAAAACGAUUUUAUGGAUGUUUCCAAACAAAUUUGAAUUUCUUUGACUUUUGAAUUAUUGCCCAAGAAUAGCUAUCACCGGGAUUAAAAAGCAAAACAAAACAAAACAAAACAAAACAAAAUGACCUGAUUUUAACUGCCCGUAAACUCAUAAUUUUCAGUUUUCUUUUAAAGAACUUUUGUGUCACUUAAGCCUAUGGAGCACAUUGUAUAUUUGGUUUUCUUUCCUGCCUCUCUCUUUUAAAUUGAAGCUAUUGUCUACAAAUGCAAUGUAUUCUCCAUCUUCCUUCACAUGUGUUUCCCACUAUGAUUUUCCAAUUAACCACACUCAUCUGCCUAAAGUUGAAUUCCAAUGGUUCUAAGAAUAGGAGAGAUAUAUUCAUCUUGAUUUGUUUUGUCUCCUUAAUAUUAUUUCACUUCUAGAUUUUUUUACACAGCAUCCUGUAGAUUAUAGAUAGUUUCUAUAGUGGCCAUUCAAGUGGAAAUCUCUGAGUUUUUUUUUUUUUAAGUAGUGGAGAAUUGGAGAGAAUAACUAAAUCACAUAACAUUCAAUAUGUGAACUAUCAAUUGGCCGAGUAAGUUACAGCAAGAUAACCUACAUCUGAGAGUAAUUUUGCAAUAUCAUGGUAAUUUCUACACCAUAUAAUAGAAAAAUACUACAUUUGAAAAUAUAUUAUAUUUUGUAUAGAAUCUACUGAUUUUGCACUGUAAAUAGAUUAAGGCCUGGGCUAGAGUUCAUAUAUUCUUAAAGAAGCCUUAGGGUUUCAGCA